rnacentral:rRNA from 1 species
CAUGGAGGGUGAGAAUCCCGUCCGGUUGAUCAGAUUCGCUUUACGAUACGCUUUCUAAGAGUCAAGUUGUUUGGGAUUGCAGCUUAAAAUGGGAGGUAAAUUUCUCCUAAGGCUAAAUAACGGCGAGAGACCGAUAGCGAACAAGUACCGUGAGGGAAAGAUGAAAAGAACUUUGAAAAGAGAGUUAAAUAGUACGUGAAAUUGUUGAAAGGGAAACGAUUGAAGCCAGUCGUACCUACGGGUAAUCAGCCUUUUGGGUGUGAUUUUGUGGAGCGUGAGGAGUUAAACGCCUUCAUGCCUGUAUAUUCGUGCACUUUGGGUGUACUUGCCCGUAUGGUUGGUUAACAUCAAUUUUGGUGGUCAUAAAAUGACUGGAGGAAUGUAGCUUCGAUCUCGUAUUGAAGUGUUAUAGCCUUCGGUAGAUGUGAUGAUCGAGAUUGAGGACUGCAACGGAUACCCUUCGGGGCUACCUGUCUGAUCUCUGAUCGUUGCUCUGGUGCCGAAAGCUUGCUUACGGUUAUCAAAGUCGAUGGUCAAUAGGUUAGAACGGGUUAAAUUCGUUAAGGAUGUUGACGUAAUGG